CACGCCGUAAACGAUGAAUACUAGGUGUGGGGGUUAUCAUGACUUCCGUGCCGCAGUUAACACAAUAAGUAUUCCGCCUGGGGAGUACGAUCGCAAGAUUAAAACUCAAAGGAAUUGACGGGGGCCCGCACAAGCAGCGGAGCAUGUGGUUUAAUUCGAAGCAACGCGAAGAACCUUACCAGGUCUUGACAUCCCGAUGACCGCUCUAGAGAUAGAGUUUUCCCUUCGGGGACAUUGGUGACAGGUGG
rnacentral:rRNA from 1 species